rnacentral:tRNA from 1 species
GGGCGUGUAGCUCAGUUGGUAGAGCGUUCGCUUAGCAUGCGAAAGGUCUUGGGUUCGAUUCCCAACUCGUCCA